rnacentral:lncRNA from 1 species
CAGCUCGUUCAAGAGUACUGGUCUCAUUCCCAAUCCCCGUAGUCCCAGUGAGCUCCAAAAGAGCCAUAAUGCAGUAUAGAUCGCUGUAGCCUAGUAAAGAAAGUGUUGUAGCCAUAAUUAGCAACGGAGAGAACCAAUGUAGCUUAGUCCAGAAAAUUGGAUGUAACAUGACCACUACCAAGACAGUGCAAUGUAAUAUAUAUAACAUCCCAAAUUCUUCAAUUGGUUCAAGGUUUAAUACAAUAAUAAUUGCAUAGAAUUCGCAGUAGAACUCUAUGAUUAACAGAAUCUACUAUCUAAGGUCCUCCUAGGACAGCAUUCUCGAUAUCUUCUCUACUCAGAGCGUAACUGAAUCUCCUCUCAACAUCCUUCUCGAGGUUUCCUGACCCACUCUUCAUGUACCUGAUGUAGAGGUCAGUGACAUCGAGCGACAACUGAGCAUGCCAGUCCGGGUUCUCGACCUUCCAAACGGCGCGGUCUUCUUUGCUCUGGUAAAACCCUAACCCCUUGAGCCAGGACUCGAUGCAAGGAAGGCUGUGAGAGUAGAGCGGCUUCUCUUUCUCCGGAA